UGUUAGCGGCGGACGGGUGAGUAACACGUGGGUAACCUGCCUGUAAGACUGGGAUAACUCCGGGAAACCGGGGCUAAUACCGGAUGGUUGUUUGAACCGCAUGGUUCAAACAUAAAAGGUGGCUUCGGCUACCACUUACAGAUGGACCCGCGGCGCAUUAGCUAGUUGGUGAGGUAACGGCUCACCAAGGCAACGAUGCGUAGCCGACCUGAGAGGGUGAUCGGCCACACUGGGACUGAGACACGGCCCAGACUCCUACGGGAGGCAGCAGUAGGGAAUCUUCCGCAAUGGACGAAAGUCUGACGGAGCAACGCCGCGUGAGUGAUGAAGGUUUUCGGAUCGUAAAGCUCUGUUGUUAGGGAAGAACAAGUACCGUUCGAAUAGGGCGGUACCUUGACGGUACCUAACCAGAAAGCCACGGCUAACUACGUGCCAGCAGCCGCGGUAAUACGUAGGUGGCAAGCGUUGUCCGGAAUUAUUGGGCGUAAAGGGCUCGCAGGCGGUUUCUUAAGUCUGAUGUGAAAGCCCCCGGCUCAACCGGGGAGGGUCAUUGGAAACUGGGGAACUUGAGUGCAGAAGAGGAGAGUGGAAUUCCACGUGUAGCGGUGAAAUGCGUAGAGAUGUGGAGGAACACCAGUGGCGAAGGCGACUCUCUGGUCUGUAACUGACGCUGAGGAGCGAAAGCGUGGGGAGCGAACAGGAUUAGAUAC
rnacentral:rRNA from 1 species